CCUGGCUCAGAUUGAACGCUGGCGGCAGGCCUAACACAUGCAAGUCGAGCGGAUGACGGGAGCUUGCUCCUUGAUUCAGCGGCGGACGGGUGAGUAAUGCCUAGGAAUCUGCCUGGUAGUGGGGGACAACGUUUCGAAAGGAACGCUAAUACCGCAUACGUCCUACGGGAGAAAGCAGGGGACCUUCGGGCCUUGCGCUAUCAGAUGAGCCUAGGUCGGAUUAGCUAGUUGGUGGGGUAAUGGCUCACCAAGGCGACGAUCCGUAACUGGUCUGAGAGGAUGAUCAGUCACACCGGAAGUGAGACACGGUCCAGACUCUUACGGGAGGCAGCAGUGGGGAAUAUUGGACAAUGGGCGAAAGCCUGAUCCAGCC
rnacentral:rRNA from 1 species